rnacentral:rRNA from 1 species
UACGAAGGGGGCUAGCGUUGUUCGGAUUUACUGGGCGUAAAGCGCACGUAGGCGGAUUGGUCAGUUAGGGGUGAAAUCCUGGAGCUCAACUCCAGAACUGCCUUUAAUACUGCCAAUCUCGAGUCCGGAAGAGGUAAGUGGAACUCCUAGUGUAGAGGUGAAAUUCGUAGAUAUUAGGAAGAACACCAGUGGCGAAGGCGGCUCACUGGUCCGGUACUGACGCUGAGGUGCGAAAGCGUGGGGAGCAAACAGG